CCUACGGUGAGCUGCAGUGGGGGAUAUUGCACAAUGGGGGAAACCCUGAUGCAGCGACGCCGCGUGAGUGACGAAGUAUUUCGGUAUGUAAAGCUCUAUCAGCUGGGCCGCAAAUGACAGUACCUGACAAAGAAGCCCCGGCUAACUACGUGCCAGCAGCCGCGGUACUACGUAGGGGGCAAGCGUUAUCCGGAUUUACUGGGUGUAAAGGGAGCGUAGACGGUUAUGUAAGUCUGGAGUGAAAGCCCGGGGCCCAACCCCGUGACUGCUUUGGAAACUGUGUAACUGGAGUACAGGAGGGGCAGGCGGAAUUACUGGGGUAGCGGUGAAAUGCGUAGAUAUCAGGAGGAACACCGGCGGCGAAGGCGGCCUGCUGGACUGAAACUGACGUUGAGGCUCGAAAGCGUGGGGAGCAAACAGGAGUAGAUACCCUGGUAGUC
rnacentral:rRNA from 1 species